rnacentral:miRNA from 1 species
GUGUCCUAGACAAUUUUUUAUUUCAGGAUCCUCCUCCACUCUCCCCCUGCCCCCCCCCCCUUUACUACCCAAUUAAAAUUGGAGGAUUCACUUCCUGGAAGUGACUCCUCCGAUUUAUAUAGGGUAGUAAAGGGGGGGCAGGAGGGAGAGUGGGGGUGGAUCCUGAAAUAAAAAAAUCUGAUCAG